rnacentral:rRNA from 1 species
UUAAGAAUCUUGCGCAAUGGAGGCAACUCUGACGCAGCGACGCCGCGUGUGCGAUGAAGGCCCUCGGGUUGUAAAGCACAACAAACAGGGAAGAAGAAAGUGACGGUACCUGUCUGAAGCACCGGCUAACUACGU